GUUUCAUCUGAACAUUUUCCCUGUUCAACGAUGGCGAGAACAAAAAGAGGAACUCUGUCCUGUCCACACUAGCAUUUGAAUAGCAGGGUUCUGGACAUCAAAUUUACCCUAACCCACUCCACACAAUCCAUUAGUUUUUUGGACAUCAUGGUGACCAUCAACAAUGGACGACUAACUACAGAUCUAUAUACAAGGGAGACAGAUAAAAACACCUUACUAAGUGGAAUUACGGAUGGAACUACACUCACCGAACCUUGAAAUAUUUUUCUUGUGUCCUCAAUA